GACGAACGCUGGCGGCGUGCUUAACACAUGCAAGUCGAACGGAAAGGCCUGCUUUCCCUUGUGGAUUGCGGGUACUCGAGUGGCGAACGGGUGAGUAACACGUGCGUGAUCUGCCCCCAACUUGGGUAUAAGCCUGGGAAACCGGGUCUAAUUCCCGAUAGGACUGCAGGGUGGUGCGUGAGGUGGUACACGAUUUUCUAGUGGUUGGGGAUGAGCUCUCGGCCUAUCAGCUAGGUGGUGGGGUAAUGGCCUACCGAGGCUGCGUCGGGUAGCCGGCCUGGGGUGGCGGACGGCCGCAGUUGGACGGCGACACUGCCCCUGCGCCUACGGCCGGCAGCCGUGGGGAGUCAUGCGCGAUGGGCGGUGGCCUGAGGCCGCGACGCUGCGUGAGGGAUGACGGGCGCCGGGUUGUGACCUCCUGGCGGCCGCGAGGAUGCCGCCUGGUUGGAGGGGUAGUGACGGUAGUGGUAGAAGAAGCGCCGGCUAACUACGUG
rnacentral:rRNA from 1 species